GCGCACCAGUCGCGAAUACUUUACAAUGUGCGAAAGCACGAUAAGGGAACUCUGAGUGCCUCCUAAGGAGGCUGUUCAGGUGUCUAAAAGCACCUGAAGGAAGGGCUGGGUAAGACCGGUGCCAGCCGCCGCGGUAACACCGGCAGCCCAAGUGGUAGCCACGUUUAUUGGGUCUAAAGCGUCCGUAGCCGGCUGGGUAAGUUCCUUGGGAAAUUUGGCUGCUUAACAGUCAAGCUUUCAGGGAAUACUGCCCGGCUUGGGACCGGGAGAGGUCAGAGGUACUCCGAGGGGUAGGGGUGAAAUCCAUUAAUCCUUGGGGGACCACCGGUAGCGAAGGCGUCUGACCAGACCGGGUCCGACGGUGAGGGGCGAAGGCUAGGGGCGCGAACCGGGAUUAGAUACCCGUGUAGU
rnacentral:rRNA from 1 species